AUAGUUUGGCUAAAUGGGCAGUAUCUAAAGAAUGUGGAACAUUUACAAUAUUGCUAUUCACUUAAAAUAUGCAUCCUGGCAAAUAAUUUCAUUACUAAUAUUGAUUCACUUGCAUGCUGUCCUCAUUUAGUUGAACUGGAUCUCCAUGGAAAUCAGGAAGCAAAUGCUGAAGAGGCUUUAAGUCGUGUAAAAGAUGUCGUUUCCAAAAUCAGUCGUGUUUUGGCACAUCAUUCACCAAUCAUAAUUGUUCAAAGAUGGAUAAGGGGAUAUCUAGCUAGAAAAAGACUCGG